CAGCUCACCACUGUGACCUCACUGCUGGGAAUUUCCCAGUGGGGCUGUUUUUCCUUUUCCCUCACACCCCAAGUUAAAGAAAAAGCCCAAACCUGAAGACAGGACCUUUUCUAGCCAGGAAAACAACUUGUGCAGUAUGAUUGUAUUGCUGGUUUGAAGGACUCCUCCUACCUAUCUCCACUGUCUCCUUAGAAGACCCACUGGACUAUGAAGAAAUGGGAGUUGGGAAGGACUUGUCCCCCUAUAUUACACUACAUCAUAGCCCUGCUCCAUCUGCCAUCAGAUGAAACUCUGCUUCCCAUCAGUAAGCCCCUUGUAGAUUAGGUCCUUCCUAUGUGGUAACAUUAAACCUUGAGCAUGUGGUUCAGAGCUGCCAUGAGAAAGAGAGGGGGAGGUGUAUAUGUGGGCAGGCUUAACGGCUGUCCUGCAGCCUGAAGAUUGAAGAACAUGCGCCUUCAGUUUCCCUUUACUUCUCACCUCGGGGAACUCCCCAGCUUGUCUCAGGCACAUGGCACUACCACUCCCGGACUCACACCCAACACAACCACCCCAAGCUUGUCACUCCUGAGUUCUUGGACAUGAGGCCCAGGAUUGUCCAUUUCCGAGCGUGCCAGCACAGUCCUUUCCAGUUUUUUCCAAAGCCUUAAGAGAGAACAGAUCUUCUCCUUGGAAAAAAAAGAGAGAAGCAAGUCAAGUUGGCCAUCAGUGAAAUACAGUGGGUCACCAAGUCUGCCUGUCCUGACCCUUUUGUCUUGUUACCAGCCCCAAUGUAUGCUUUGUAGCACUUUUCAGACCAUGAAACCCCAAUAAUAAAUCUAUCAUCACUGCCUUCA
rnacentral:lncRNA from 1 species